UCUCUACUAAAAAUACAAAAAUUAGUUGGGCAUGGUGGCACGUGCCUGUAGUCCCAACUACUUGGGAGGUGGAGGCAGGAGAAUUGCUUGAACCUGGGAGGUGGAGGUUGCAGUGAGCCAAGGUCGCGCUACUGACCUCCAGCCUAAUGACAGAGACCCUGUCUCAAAAAAAAAAAAUUAGUGUUCUAAUUUUCACUUAAACAUUAAGUUAAAAAAAAUGACAUUCUCCUUUGUAAUUCAAAGGAGACAUAGUAAGAGUCAUAUGACCAGAAAUCAUGUUUUAAAAUUUCAUAAUUUACCCUGUGACAUGUGUUUAUCUGUGUAACAAACCUUCACAUGUACCCCCAAACUUAAAAAGUAAAUAAUUUUAUAAUUUAGAUUGUCAACAUUUGCACAUGGAACACCUAAUGACUAAGAAAUUAGGAAGCACUUCCAAGGAAAUUACCAUUUCAUAUGCUACAUAAGAAACUGCUUAUUUUACGUGGAUUCUAACAGCAUCUGACUAUAAUCUAUACACUUUAUAUAUUAUAUAUACCCCUUAUCAUAUUACCUCUGAAUAUAAUAUAUACCCCUAAUGUUUUAUCAGUUGUGUAUGAAAAUCUUAUAUUUUCAUAGAACCAUCAUCAAAUGCUUAAGGUGCUUAUAGGCACAGGAAUGACUAUAUUAUUAGACAAUAUGGGGUUUUAGUGCAAAGAGCCCCUGAUUAGCUGCUAACUUGCUUUGUGACUUUGAGCAAGUCACUUUCCUGGACCAUGUCUUGUCUUGGUCUUUGUUCUAUCUCUAGCAUCUAGCAUGUAGGCACACCAAUACAAGUUUGUUGGAUGAAUAAUAAAUGGACCUUAAGUUUCGUCAUCUAUAAAUGGAAGGACUUGGAUUAGACCUGUAAAUUUCUUUUUGAAAUUUCAAAUUUGAAAUCUCAAAUUCUGUUAUACUUUUAACCCAGUCCUAGUAUUUCCUACCCUUAAGAACCAUAUGAUCAGUGCUGGCUUUCUUAUUUUACUUCCUUGGAUUCUUUCUGCUAUUUCCCAUUUGGAACAAAGUAUUGUUUUGCUCUUCUUUAGAGCCUUUGUUAGAUUUGGUUUAUAUGUAUCUCCUUUUAUUUAUUUUUAAAAAAUUAUUUUAUAUAUAUCAUUUCUUUUUCUUUGAGAUGGAGUUUCACUCUGUCACCCAGGCUGGAGUGCAGUGGCACCGUCUUGGUUCACUGCAGCCUCUGCCUCUCAGGUUCAAGCGAUUCUCCUGCCUCAGCCUCCCGAGUAGCUGGGAUAACAGAUGAGGAAACAGGUUAAACAAUUUCCCAAACUCAUCAGUGGGGAAUCAUAAAGAUACUAAGAAUACAGGAAAAAACAAGACCCAGGAACCUUGCCUUGCGACCAUCUCCUAUCUCAGGUAAGCACAUACUUAUUUAGUACAGAAUACAUUGUGAAGCGCCAUGUAUGUGCCAAGGGCUAUUAGAUGAGGGGACAGGAUCAUGAGCACAAUGAGCGUGAACUCUGGCUUCAGAGCUGAGCAUUUAGAGGGAGACACAGACACUGAAUCCACCAAACACACGCAAGGAUCUAAUGAAAACCUUGACAGAUGCUACCAAGAAAAAGUCAUUUAUAAGCUCAUAAAUGGGGAACCUGAAUGGGUGGAUAGAGGGCAAAUGUAAGAGCACUUCCAUUAAAAAGUGACUCAUAGGUAAGAUUGAAAGACUAGGAAUUAACCAGGCUGAGGCUGAGAAGAGGGGGAUAAGAAUGAGGUGCCUCCUAGUCUGAGCUGCAGGAGGGGUGGGCCUGGAGCUUGGCUCUUGAAGGAACUCAAAGAACAGUACAGCUGGAGAGAAGAGAGGCAAAAAAGAAACCAUCGCCUGGUUGCAUUGCAGGCCUGAACUCGCCUUAUCUUCUGGAGGUCAAUACCCUGAUUCUCUCUGGAAAAAUGAUAAGGGAAAGCCCUGUGUAUGGUGUUCAGUGUGCUUGAGACAAUGAGGUAGAACUGAAUACAGAUUGGGAGCCAGGCCAGCUUGGGUUUGAAUCUUGUGAGUAACAUGGUGGUGACUGUGGCCAUUAAUAAUAAGUAAAAUGGUGAAGUCAUAAGGCUCCUUCGAAUGACUUCUAUCACUUCCAAUCACUUCUAGUUGAAGCCUGGAAGUAAUUAUUCACUUUACUAAAGGAUUCACUAGAAGUGUCCUUUACAUAGUUCCCCCUAAUGCACCUAAAAUAGAUGUGAUUGCCACAGGCAAAUCACACAAUUCUGGAGGGACUCCCUCUUAUCGAGACCUGAAGCUGGCUGUGACUUGCUGUGAUCACCUGGUCAUGAUAUACUGAUAACAGGUCUCUGAGCAAACUGUGCUAUAUGAAAAUCAUUGCCAAGAAAGCCUAGAAUCUUUAGUAGAAAUCUCAGAGUCCCAGAAACUUUGAGAGAAUAUGUUAGUUGGAGGAAAAAUAAGCCUUGUCUUCCCUCCUGCCUUGUUCUCUGCCUACUUAUGGCCCAACCUCAAAUCUUUAAAUGAUGUGGCCCAGCAGAGGCCAGUGGCAUAAAGACGGUUUCUCUCCGUUCAUCCUCUUUGGAGCUGGUGGGAACUGGUUGGAAGGAAGGUUUCUGCUCUUUUUCAAAGCCCCUCAGAGGUCUCCUCAUUCCUGGUAGGCCCUCAGCACUCCUACUGUGAACCAGCUGCUCCAACCUUGAGACUCUGUAUUCACUGCUUUAAGUUGUGCUCUAAUGUGUGUGAUUAUAUGCAUUUGAUUUUGAAAAUUUGGAGAAUUCUAUGGAAAACUCUAAUUUCUUUGUAUUUCUACCUGACCUCUGCUCCUCCGAUGAGAAGCAGUUGGAUUAUAGAAUAAGAAGUUUAGGGUAUAUCUAGACAGGGCAAGUCUUCUUUCUGAAAAACACAGUACCUUGGCAUGUAGUCCAGGACCUGGGAACCAAACCGAAAAAAAAAAAAAAAAGAUCAGAGGCCCGUGCUUGUGAGAUCCUGUGAGUGGAAUGUUGGAUGUUAUCCACAUUCAUCUUGUCAUUCCUCAGUCACCCUUCCUCUUCAAGCCUAUAUGUUUAGGCUUCAGUGCUAGUUUUCCUUCUGUGCCAAAGAGCAGGGAAUAAGAGGCCUGCAGAGGGAAAUGCUUGUUCUUGGGGAGGAGCAUGUCCUUCAGCCACCACUGGGACAAUUUUCUUUGUAGUUACUAUAGUUGUUCCAUCCAUCAUUCUGUUAGUCUAUGUUCCUAGAGGGCAGAGACAGUGUCUUAUUCCCUUCCACAUCCCUAAGUUUUCCAAAUAGAUCAAGAACUAUUUGCUGAACAAACAAGUAACCAAACAAAGGAGUAAUUAGAUUGCCUAGCUGGUGAUUCUUGGAUAUAAAAAGAUGGUGAAUGAUAUGGUCUGGCUCUGUGUCCCCACCCAAAUCUCAUUGUGAAUUGUAAUCCAAAUUGUAAUCCCUGUGUGUUGAGGGAGGGACCUCGUGGGAGGUGAUUUGAUCAUGGGGGCGCUCCUCGCCAUGCUGUUCUUGUGAUAGUGAGUUCUCACGAAAUCUGAUGGUUUUAUGAGGGGUUUUUCCCCUCAUCACUCUGCACUUCUCUCUCCUGCUGUCACGUGAAGAAGGAUGUGUUUACUUCCCCUUCUGCCAUGAUUGUAAGUUUCCUGAGGCCUCCAGAGCCACGCAGAACUGUGAGUAAAUUAAACUUCUUUCCUUUA